UACGUAGGUGGCAAGCGUUGUCCGGAAUUACUGGGUGUAAAGGGAGCGCAGGCGGGAAGCCAAGUCAGCUGUGAAAACUACGGGCUUAACUUGUAGACUGCAGUUGAAACUGGUUUUCUUGAGUGAAGUAGAGGUUGGCGGAAUUCCGAGUGUAGCGGUGAAAUGCAUAGAUAUUCGGAGGAACACCGGUGGCGAAGGCGGCCAACUGGGCUUUAACUGACGCUGAGGCUCGAAAGUGUGGGGAGCAAACAGG
rnacentral:rRNA from 1 species